CCUGGUGGCUCAGACGGUAAAGCGUCUGCCUGCAAUGCAGGAGACCAGGGUUCGAUUCCUGGGUCAGGA
rnacentral:tRNA from 1 species